GCAGGUUGGAAAUUGGGCUGAGGUUUUCACUGAAGAUGAUAGCAGUGCCCUUCCACAGUGUGACUCUCAAGGCAGCUUCUUGGCGCCCAUCUGCCCAGAAUGACAAUUUUUCCUAUAAGGAGGCACUUUUGAAGAAGGAGAGGAAACGGAUGUUGAUUGGCACUUUGUCAGGCAUUCCAUGAACUAAGAAAUGAAUGGGGAUCAUGCUGGUGGCUGUAAUG
rnacentral:lncRNA from 1 species